CUAGGGAGAUAAUUCAAAGCUUUCAUUAAGAAUUUCAAGAGAAUUCAGGAUACCAAAAAGAAAUCGAACUUGGGACCUUGUGCUUUCGAGGCAGGCAGCGGGACCACUGGGCUAAACCCCUGACCUGAAAGAUUUACUUAGUUAUGAUGGGAUCAUAAUGGAUGAAGCUGGUCCCCCCAACCAAUGAUUGAGGCCCUCAUAGGAAAAGGAGAGGACAAAGGCACACACAGAAAGGAAUGUCCUGUGGAGAUGGAGGCAAAGGUUAGAGUUAUACUUCCACAAGCUAAGGAAUUCCUGGGCCCUCCAGAAGCUAGAAAAACAAAAUGAGUUUUCAUCUCUAGAGGUUUCAAUAAAGAAUGAUC
rnacentral:lncRNA from 1 species